rnacentral:piRNA from 1 species
UCAGGGUGUUAACAGUUUGAUUCCUUGCU